rnacentral:rRNA from 1 species
UACGUAGGUGGCAAGCGUUGUCCGGAAUCACUGGGCGUAAAGCGCGCGCAGGCGGCGAUCUACGUCUGGGGUGAAAGCCCGGAGCUCAACUCCGGGACUGCCUUGGAUACGGGAUCGCUUGAGGAUUGGAGAGGCAAGGGGAAUUCCACGUGUAGCGGUGAAAUGCGUAGAUAUCUGGAGGAACACCGGUGGCGAAGGCGGCAUCCUGGACCAAUAUUGACGCUGAGGAGCGAAAGCCAGGGGAGCAAACGGG